AGAGUUUGAUCCUGGCUCAGGAUGAACGCUGGCGGCGUGCUUAACACAUGCAAGUCGAACGAACCUUCGGGUUAGUGGCGGACGGGUGAGUAACGCGUGAGAAUCUGCCCUCAGGAGGGGGAUAACGGCUGGAAACGGCCGCUAAUACCCCAUAUGCCGAGAGGUGAAAUGAAUUUCGCCUGAGGAUGAGCUCGCGUCUGAUUAGCUAGUUGGUGGGGUAAGAGCCUACCAAGGCAUCGAUCAGUAGCUGGUCUGAGAGGAUGAUCAGCCACACUGGGACUGAGACACGGCCCAGACUCCUACGGGAGGCAGCAGUGGGGAAUUUUCCGCAAUGGGCGAAAGCCUGACGGAGCAACGCCGCGUGAGGGAUGAAGGCCUCUGGGCUGUAAACCUCUUUUAUCAAGGAAGAAGAUCUGACGGUACUUGAUGAAUAAGCCACGGCUAAUUCCGUGCCAGCAGCCGCGGUAAUACGGGAGUGGCAAGCGUUAUCCGGAAUUAUUGGGCGUAAAGCGUCCGCAGGCGGCCUGAUAAGUCUGUUGUCAAAGCGUGGAGCUUAACUCCAUUUCGGCAAUGGAAACUGUGAGGCUUGAGUGUGGUAGGGGCAGAGGGAAUUCCCGGUGUAGCGGUGAAAUGCGUAGAUAUCGGGAAGAACACCAGUGGCGAAGGCGCUCUGCUGGGCCAUAACUGACGCUCAUGGACGAAAGCCAGGGGAGCGAAAGGGAUUAGAUACCCCUGUAGUCCUGGCCGUAAACGAUGAACACUAGGUGUCGGGGGAAUCGACCCCCUCGGUGUCGUAGCCAACGCGUUAAGUGUUCCGCCUGGGGAGUACGCACGCAAGUGUGAAACUCAAAGGAAUUGACGGGGGCCCGCACAAGCGGUGGAGUAUGUGGUUUAAUUCGAUGCAACGCGAAGAACCUUACCAGGGUUUGACAUCCUGCGAAUCCCUUGGAAACUAGGGAGUGCCUUCGGGAGCGCAGAGACAGGUGGUGCAUGGCUGUCGUCAGCUCGUGUCGUGAGAUGUUGGGUUAAGUCCCGCAACGAGCGCAACCCACGUCUUUAGUUGCCAGCAUUGAGUUGGGCACUCUAGAGAGACCGCCGGUGAUAAACCGGAGGAAGGUGUGGAUGACGUCAAGUCAUCAUGCCCCUUACAUCCUGGGCUACACACGUACUACAAUGCUACGGACAAAGGGCAGCAAACUCGCGAGAGCUAGCAAAUCCCGUAAACCGUGGCUCAGUUCAGAUCGUAGGCUGCAACUCGCCUACGUGAAGGAGGAAUCGCUAGUAAUCGCAGGUCAGCAUACUGCGGUGAAUACGUUCCCGGGCCUUGUACACACCGCCCGUCACACCAUGGAAGUUGGCCACGCCCGAAGCCGAUACUCCAACCCUUGUGGAGGAGGACGUCGAAGGUGGGGCUGAUGACUGGGGUGAAGUC
rnacentral:rRNA from 1 species